CACACACACACACAUAUACACACAUAUACAUACAUACAUACAUACAUACAUACAUAUAAUAUAUAUAUUAAAUCAUAUAUUAUCAUACACACACACACACACACACACACCCUAAGGCAACAGUGUUUUUCAAAAUGUAUUUAUUGGUCAUAUACAAAAUAAAGUAAGCUGUAUAUCAACAAACAUACAGUAUAUACAUCAAUAAAUUAAAAGACGCCCCGGACUGACUGAUACAAUUAAUUUCAUCAUUAAUAUACCAAUACAUUAUUUAUCUACAAAUUCCAAAAAGUACAAUAACUUAGUUGAUAAAUACUUACAAUUAAAUGGACUUUUACUGUAUGUAUAAUUCCCAUACAAAGUACUGUGACAAUUCAUUACACCCCAUACAGAAAAACAGAACAGAUUCUUUUCAUAGACAAAAAAAAGAUGAUACUUUCCAUGUUUAUUACCUCUCAAUUUAUAGCUUGAGUACUUUUUUUUUGGGGGGGGGGGCAACCCAAAAUACAUCACUCCAAUGAUGAGGUCUGUCAUGUGGACAUAGCAGUUUGAGUGAUGGAGAGAACAGGGGAGACAAUCAGGAAAAAAUGAGAACAAACUAAAAAAAGAAAACACAAAUGGUCUUUGAAAGGGGACCAAAAAAUGCUCAGAAUUGCUGCAUACAAAUUGAUUUUGCAUUAAAUGAUACAUUUCUUUUUGCUUCAUACAGGAGUGAGCAAGUCAACAAGCACCAAAAGCUGAAAGAAGCACAACAAGAGUGCCAUCAAUAUACAAAUGUAUAAAAUGUCCGACAGUAUGUGGGGAUCCUCGUUUUAUUGAUUUAUGAGUCAUGAAUCUGGCAGAGAAGUCACGCGGCGUGAUAAGCAAGUCCCAAACACCAAUGGCAACGAUGUUAACAGUUACAAUAGCAGUGUGAUAAGAGGUUAAUGAUUUAAACUGCCCAUGGCGGUCAAAUACAGGGAGAAAUCUGGGUUUCUUGGUUAAACCUUAACAAGGGACGAGAGACGUGAAGAAUUUGAGACUCAUUUGUCUUUCAGAAGAAAUUAAACCUUUCAAUGCUUCUCCCAAGAGGCCUAAAGUGAAAAGCAACUGGGAACGCAACAGAGCAGGCAAGAACAAAUAGAAGUCAUUGGGUACGAUGUAUUAAUGUAACUUGGCGUAGUUAACGCACUGCACUUACACUCCACAGGAGAAGAAGUAGGACAGUGUUGCAUUUUUGCACAGCAACAGAAGCGGACACCUGAGACCAGAGCGAGCUCUCAGUCAGCCUGCUGCUUCCUACUGAUCUGACAAAAGAGCCGGUUGUGGCUCGGGGUCAAAUGGGUGCGAGUUGGUGGUUACACACACAUUGUUCUCAGCAAGGUCAUCUCAAGCGAGUGUCUGAGCCAAUUCUGGAAGCUGUUCCCAGGAUUGUCUCAGUUUGCUUUUAAUAUCCACUGUGUUCGGCUCCUGGGAGGUAGCACUAUUUUUGAAAGGGGAAAAACGAAUUGUAAGUGUAUUUUCUAUUUAAAACCACCACAAAAGAAGCCGUAUUACUGUACCAGAGAAUGUUCCAGAAACAGUUUUGAGGUAAAUGUUAAUUGUUGCAUUGUUUAAUGUUGAUUGUUGCAUUAGCUUAGUUGAUUAAAUCGUCAAUCGCUGCUGAAGAAGAAUCCAGCUUUGUCUGACCACCUCCAAAAACCUAAAACCAAGCUGGUCAAGCUUGUAGACCUUCUUUCCCAGAUGGCAAGUUAUUUUCUAUCUUCCUUAUCACUUGUCUAUGCUGAUCAAUAGAUACUUGAGAUUUUCUACCUGCCUUACUGUUUAUUUUGUUAAAAAAUUAUUUGUCUACGAUGUAGCAUUAGUGGCAGGAAUUCAGAAACAGUUUCCUUCCACCAGCUGGCAAAGACGGUCUACCAGCUUGAGCAGCUCGGUCUGUGUUUUGGCAUCUGGUAGCUGGAUGUUUCAGCAGGAAUGUGAUAUUUAUACAUGCAAAUAAAGCGCCUUGAGAAAAAUUAGACAAGCUGUAGCAUUCACAUAAAUGGAAAAAUGGAAACAGUCUCUCACUGUUUGUGGUUUUUAAAAAAAAAAAGAAAAGAAAAAAAAGAAACCCUAUCUUCCCUACCGCCCACAUUUGCAUAUAAUUCAUAUGUUCACUUCUACACCAAGUCACCACGACGACGACGACGACGACGACAAUGACGUACGUCAACGAGCCGAGCCACCCCGUCCUCCUCUGCCGCACGACAGGAAGAGGAGGAGUGCGAGUCUAAAAAGUAUUAGGCAGUGGCGCUACCUGGAGUACAAGCACUUCCAUGAGGAGCACGGCAUUGUUUUCGCUAAUGCAGGCUACUGAUAGUAGCUUUAAAGAUCGGAGCACUCGCAUGCUGUCUGUAUCUGCGGAUUGUCACUCAACACUGCUCAGGCUUACGAAUACACCCCGGAUUCAAUUCAUGUGCUGAAAAUCAAGCCCUUUCUGAGAUGAAUCAGUUGUGAUGGAGUUCAGGACCCCGACCCUGAUCUCUAGAGACAGUGUACCAUGAUGCACAUAGUCAGGGCUGGAAAAACUAAAUAAAGAAUGAAACUAUUUUGGCUGG